CUGUUUUAUCAUGGAUGGAUUAUAUGAUAGCGAAUAGGUCAAUGGUCUAUAUCACAAUAAAACUGAGAUAUAAUACACUGUGCUCUCAUGGGGCGGUGGGCUAGCCUAGUGGUUAAUGCGUUCGCUCGUCACGCCAAAGACCCGGGUUCGA